rnacentral:rRNA from 1 species
AACGUAGGACACAAGCGUUAUCCGGAGUUACUGGGCGUAAAGGGCGUGUAGGCGGGAAGGAAAGUCAGAUGUGAAAUCCCCAGGCUCAACCUGGGAACUGCAUUUGAAACUCCCUUUCUUGAGUACCGGAGAGGAAAGUGGAAUUCCUGGUGUAGCGGUGAAAUGCGCAGAUAUCAGGAGGAACACCGGUGGCGAAGGCGGGUCUCUGGGCAGUAACUGACGCUGAGGAGCGAAAGCGUGGGGAGCGAACAGG